GGACGACCUACAUAUAUUAUGUUUUUUCCCCUUAGAUUAGAGUUUUUAAGUUGAUUAGAUAAAAAUGUGUCUGCUCGAUUUCCAAGAUAGAACCACUUCUGUUUCCAUUUAGUUAAAGUUUUAUUUUCUCUAUCAAUCUUGAAGUCUCUAAUUUUCCUCUUAAUUUGCUCUAUCUCUAUGAUAAUUCCUUGUUCCUUAGGGUAGAUUUUCUCUAAAUUAUCUAAUUUCAAAUACAGAUCUGCCAGGGAUUGAUAAUUUACUUUUUUAUUAUCCUCUAAUUACGCAUUUGUAUGCAGCCCAUAUAUUUCCCACACUAACCUCUUCAUUUAAGAGGUUCUUAACUACUCCUUAAAGUAUAAGUUAGAGUUCACAAUUAUUUCCUCUAGUGUUCUCUUAUCAUUCAAUAUAGAGUCUCUGAGUUUCCAAUUACCCCUUUUAAGGGUAUAAUCCAUCUCAAUUGCCCUAGAUAUUGGGUUAUGAUCUGAUAUAGUUAUCUUAUUG